AGACUCUUAUUGGAUUUCAGUUCAGAAAAUUUUUUCGCGCUGUGCGGUUGUGUGGAGCGGAAAGUUGAAAUUCGCUUUCAAGUUGCCCAAAAGGUUUUUGUCAUUUGUUUUCGCAUUGUUCGCGCAUUGUUGAUUUCAAUUGUGAGAGAAGCGGCAGCAGCAGCAGCAGCAUCCCAAAAGAAACUGCAGUCGCUGAUGUUUGUGUUCUAUUCGUAAUCGGAGUCGGUGCAAUAAAACGCGGCAAUAUUUUCAGUUAAAAAUAAAUAAAAAUUUAAAUAAAAAUAAAUCCAUAAGAAAAAAUUGAAAGUGAAAUUCGUUAAUAACGGUAAAUCAAAUACAACGCGACGACGAGAAAAAAUUUGUUGAAUGAAACGCUCAGAGGAAAAGAAGCAAAUAUAAAUUAAUUGCUUAAAAAAAUAAAAUAAAUAAUAAUAAUUUUAAAAAUCUAACGGCAUACAAAAUUAAUAUUCAUAUUCAUUCAAUGCAAAGUGUUUAACAGUUUAACAAAACAAAUUAAAAGUGUUUCAACAAUUUACUAAAGCGAUUCCAAUUAGAAUUUGGGCUUCGACAACAGCACCAGCAACACCAACAAUAAUAAACAUAAGUUUCGAAAAUCGUAUAUACAGAAGUUACAUAUAUAUUGAGAAACUUGUGCCAAAAAGCAACUCAUAAGCAAUAUUAGACGUCGCGGCAAUUGCGCAACAAAUAAUAUUUCUGUCUAAAGGUAAAUAUGUCAACCAAAUACUUUAGAUUCUUAUACUCCAAAGGGCAUUUGAUAUAGCUCUGCAGUGAAAACCUUUUCUUUUUUCAUAUAAGAGGGGCAACAGGUUUUUAAAUUUCCGCAAUUUUCCAUUUCUAUUUUUUUCUUUUAUUUCCGUUACUGUUAUAACAUAACUGUUAUUACACACUCCACACAGAGAGGUCACACCCGCUGCUGACCUUUGCAGCAACUCGAAUGUAACCAACAAAAAUUACUCGACCAUAACAAAGAAUUCUAGGCACUUUAACGCAUUCGCCUUUGUCAGUUUUUAAUAAAAAAAAAAAAAAAGUAAAAAGCAGAAGACAAAAACCCACAAAAAAAAAAAAAAAAAACUAUAUAGAUAUAUUUAUAUAUGUGUGUAUAUAUGUUUGUCUUCCAACUCUUUUCUCAACUUUAAUUAAGAACUUCCUCUCGGUGUGCGUCUCGUAGCUUUUAUGGCCACAGCAAAGGUUAGUAAUAAUAAUAAUUAUGAUUUAUUUGCGACUCGUAUGCAAGGCACAUUUCUGACCCAAAUCCGCUAAGAAACGCUGACAACAUUGACCCAUUUAAGCACAGGCAUAAAACUGACCAAAAUAUAAAAAGUUUUAUGUACGCACGAAACGUGUGCUCAAGCAUAAACAAAGCGAAAAUCAUGCGAAUUUCUUUCCGAUAUACGAUUUGCAUAUAUUCCCCAAAAUUAACGGAAAAUUUCUGAUGGCAUUCAUCAAAUAGGGAAGAUCGAUUUAUAUCCAUAUGGAAAACGAUUGAAGCGCAUGUGGCACAAAUAUUUGUUUAAAUUUAGUUGUUCCACACGCUCAAAUCAAUUAAGUGAAAAACGCGCGAGCGAAACUAUUAAUAAAAGUGGAAAUGUUCAUAAAAAAUGGUCAACUCAUGUGAUACCCUAUAUUAAAUAAUAUAGGCAAGAGGAAAUUAAAAGAAAAGACAUAAAUACAUGUAAAUAAAAGGAAAAUUAUAAA